UGCUUGCAUAGAAAAUGUACAUUAGAUAUCCAUCAGUGAGAUGCUGAAAGAAAAAUAUUUGGUUCCUAAUAUUUUGCUUAGUUGGCUCUAAUAUGCAGAAGUUCUAGCUAGCAGUAAAUCUCAAUGGAUCAAACAAACUAUGAGCAUCCUGAUCACAUCUCUUCACUGCUCCUGUGCAGUGCUGGUAGAUGAGAGAGGUGCUCUGGACUUCUGCCAAGAUGUUUCAUUCUCCCAUUCCACUUUUGCAUCUCAGAUCACAGAAAUAAAUGAAAUAAUAAGUCUCCUUAGAGUGGAAAGAAGAACUUUUUCAUAUGCAGGGAAGCUUCAGAGAGCAUGCAUGAAACUUAGAGCAGCUGUCCAGGCAGUCUACAGAUUUGAGAACCAGCAGUGAGACUCAUUCAAAAGAUAACUUACAAAGACUUUUCUAAGUCAUACACAGGGAAACUUUGAUCAGAGAGGAGGAUCAAGGUAAUAAUAAGUAGGAUGAACUCUGGGUAUAAGGAACUGAUGAGAUUGCCAGGCAAAAAGCAAAAAGAGAGAAAAAAACCCACUAAAAGUGCUUCAAUGAAAUUCUGAAUUUGGAUUAGGAAGACUAAAUCGUCUUCAACUUAAAAUCCUCCAAAAGCAUUUUGUAUGUCAUCACUCCAUCUUGAUUUUUCCCUUGUGGAAGUAAUAAGAGCAAUAUCCUGUUCUUCUGUUUGUAAGUUUUGUUUCAAAUAUAAAGCAAAUGCCAAAUAUCUGCAGCAUGCUAGUGAAGCAGUAGCAAGCUAAAAAAAUUAAUUAGUGCCCAAACAAGCAGGUCUCAAAAAUCCUAGCUGCAUGUAGACAGACUUUGGUAUCUAGUCCUGGGCUCUAGUAAAAACAUCUGAG